rnacentral:lncRNA from 1 species
UUCAGGAUCCUAAAUUUUUGGAGGGCCUAAACUCAAGUCUUGUUCAACUAUAAUCAAGUUCAACCCUGAAUACAUGUAAAGAAAAGAAAGAACUGAUAUUAUCAGUAUAUGCAGUAAAUUUAAGUAGUAUAUGACUUCAAACAAAAUGAAGAGUGCAUAACAAGAAGAAAGAAAGGCAGUGCAAGACUGAAAUAAUUGAGAUAAAAUGUGUUCAGGGCACUACAUCUUUAUACGGUUUUCAUCAUUAACCUUGCCUCCCACUAACUCAUUCCCUCUACCUGCAAUUUUUCUAGAUAAGGACUUCCCUCCAUUCCGAAUAUUUUUAUAUAUCUUCGACUUGAUACAUUUUAAACUCUACUGAACAGCAAAAGGUUUUGAAUUACUAUGAUUUUUCAUAUUAACAUUAUUGGAGGGAAAAGAAAGAUGAGUAAAAUUACUCGAAAAUAAUAGAGAUUGGAGGGAAAUUUUGAGAAAAAAUCAAGUGCAAUAUUAUUAUGAUGAGAAUAUUUAAGAAGAAACCAGGGGAAGUGAGAAUGAGACAUUCUCUCUUUGAGGGGCGGUUUGAUUUAAUAACAGCCUGACAUUUUAAAUUAUUAAUAUCAUUAAAUAAACUCUCAAGCCUCAAAACCGAAGUAGAACAUAAAACCAAUCUCCCGCAACUACAUAUUUUUUAAGCAUUUAUGACCUAACUACAUAUUUUUUAAGCAUUUAUGACCUUCAUAGUAAUCUCCACAUAACAAUCUCAACCGUGUAUAGUGUAUAUCAACAUUAAGAAGAAAGAACAAAUCAUAAUAACUUAAGAAAGAAAGGAGUUCGACAAAGGCUCUGUAUCGGGAUGUAAUUCCAGGGGACGGAGCAAGUUCUUGGGUCAGGCCAAAACAGAAUACAGUCAAGGUAACGGUCGAUGCUGCAUUAUUUGCUGAAACUUCGAAAUAUGGUGUUGGUGUAAUAGCAAGGGAUGAUGAAGGCCAGGUUGUGCAAGGGAGGACAGAAGUGUUCGAGGGAGUGGUUAGACCGGAGUUUGCAGAAGCUGUAGCAGUAAAAGAAGCAUUAAGUUGGAUUAAAUCUUACGGAUGGAGGGAGGUGGUUCUGGAAUCAGACUGCUUGGCAGUGGUGCAAGCUAUCCGCAGUAAGCUUACUCUACGGUCUCCUUUUGGUCGUAUCAUUAUGGAGUGUCGUAGAAUGCUAGUAGAGUUAAACAUUGAAUUGUUUUUUAUUACACGAUCUGCCAACAUGGCCGCUCACUGGUUAGCGAGAGAGUCAUUGUUAUGUCCAGGUCGUAGCUUUGACAGGAGGUCUGUUCCUGUCGGUUUGGAGUCUCACUUGUUAGCAGAUUUAUUUGAGUAAUACAAUCUUUUUCCCUCAAAAAAAAAAAAAAAAAAAAAAAGAAAGAAAUUAUACCUUUGUGCGUUAGAAGGUUUUUAAGCUGAUGUAAUAUAUAUGGAGAAAAUCACAGUAAGUUGAGAAAGAGA